GGGGAUAUAGCUCAGUUGGUAGAGUGCUUGCCUUGCAUGUACAAAACCCUGGGUUCAAUCCCUAGCACCACCA
rnacentral:tRNA from 1 species